rnacentral:rRNA from 1 species
UACGGAGGGGGCCAGCGUUGUUCGGAAUUAUUGGGCGUAAAGGGCGCGUAGGCGGCCAUUCAAGUCGGACGUGAAAUCCCUCGGCUCAACCGGGGAACUGCGUCCGAUACUGUCUGGCUCGAGUCCUGGAGAGGGUAGUGGAAUUCCCAGUGUAGCGGUGAAAUGCGUAGAUACUGGGAGGAACACCGGUGGCGAAGGCGGCUACCUGGACAGGUACUGACGCUGAGGCGCGAAAGCUAGGGGAGCAAACAGG